GAUGAACGCUGGCGGCGUGCCUAAUACAUGCGAGUCGAGCGAACGGACGAGAAGCUUGCUUCUCUGAUGUUAGCGGCGGACGGGUGAGUAACACGUGGAUAACCUACCUAUAAGACUGGGAUAACUUCGGGAAACCGGAGCUAAUACCGGAUAAUAUUUUGAACCGCAUGGUUCAAAAGUGAAAGACGGUCUUGCUGUCACUUAUAGAUGGAUCCGCGCUGCAUUAGCUAGUUGGUAAGGUAACGGCUUACCAAGGCAACGAUGCAUAGCCGACCUGAGAGGGUGAUCGGCCACACUGGAACUGAGGCACGGUCCAGACUCCUACGGGAGGCAGCAGUAGGGAAUCUUCCGCAAUGGGCGAAAGCCUGACGGAGCAACGCCGCGUGAGUGAUGAAGGUCUUCGGAUCGUAAAACUCUGUUAUUAGGGAAGAACAUAUGUGUAAGUAACUGUGCACAUCUUGACGGUACCUAAUCAGAAAGCCACGGCUAACUACGUG
rnacentral:rRNA from 1 species